UACAGAGGGGCAAGCGUUGUUCGGAAUUACUGGCGUAAGGGCGCGUAGGCGGCCUUCUAAGUCGAACGUGAAAUCCCGGGCUCAACCCGGGAACUGCGUCCGAUACUGGAAGGCUUGAAUCCGGGAGAGGGAUGCGGAAUUCCAGGUGUAGCGGUGAAAUGCGUAGAUAUCUGGAGGAACACCGGUGGCGAAGGCGGCAUCCUGGACCGGCAUUGACGCUGAGGCGCGAAAGCCAGGGAGCAAAGCGGG
rnacentral:rRNA from 1 species